rnacentral:misc_RNA from 1 species
GAAAUGCGAUAAGUAAUGUGAAUUGCAGAAUUCAGUGAAUCAUCGAAUCUUUGAACGCACAUUGCGCCCGCCAGUAUUCUGGCGGGCAUGCCUGUUCGAGCGUCAUUUCAACCAUCAAGCCCCCGGGCUUGUGUUGGGGACCUGCGGCUGCCGCCGGCCCCGAAAACCAGUGGCGGGCUCGCUGUCACACCGGGCGUAGUAGAUUUUUCGUCUCGCCCAGGGCGUGCUGCGGGUUCCGGCCGUUAAAAAGCCUCUCUUUUUAACCCAAGGUUGACCUCGGAUCAGGUAGGAAGACCCGCUGAACUUAAGC